UUCAUUCAUUCAUUCUUUCAACCUCUCACUUUUCUCUCUCUAUACUCUUGCAUAACCUCUCCUCUUCAAGGUCGAUGAUUUUUACUGUAAAUCGGAUCUAGUUUCUGAUUUCAAGUUUUUUGAUGUAGUGCAUAGUCAGAUUUGGGUUGUGACUAUGUGUAGUUGUCAUUUGCAGAAGGUUUUCAGCAUUUUUAUAGUUGAUUAAACUAUAUAGAAUUUUGGCUACGCUUGAUUAUGGUCUUGAGUCGAUUAGAGGUUGUUUUUCUUGAGAUCGAUUAUAGUGUCUCGGGUCACAUUGUUGUACUCUAGUCUCAGACUUUCUCUUGGGCAGUUCUUUGAACAUAGUGAUGGGCUCUUUACCUUUGAGCCCCCAAAUUAGGCAUUAUCAAACUGGGUGACCAUUUCUUAUAUUGAUACUACCGUUUUGAAUGAGUUUGUGUUUAGUGAUUUGUAUACUAGCUAUUUUAGUACAUGAAAUCAUAACAAAAUUGGUAUCAGAGUUUCGUAAGGUAUGGGUAUGGCAUCUUGAAAUCUGAUCUAAUUUUUCCUUCCAUAUUGAUGCGUUUCUUUGAUCUGUGCAAUUCUUGAAAACUGAUCAGAACUGAGGAUCUUGAAUGCUAGGGUUUAAUCAAAAUGAACUUGAUUUUUAAAUACUAUUAUACAUAGAAUUUUGGUGAGACUGUUCCAAUCAUUUUUCUUAGUUACAGAUCUGCAUGAUUUAAAUGUUAUAUGAGAAUUCGUUAGAUUACUAUGGUUCAGUAUAUUCAAGAAUCUGAAUAAAUUGUUUGAUUAUAAUAGGAAAAUGUUAGGUGUUUUUAGUUUCUUCAAUCUGAGUGUUUGGUACUAUCUGUGAUAAUUCUGAAACUGAGUUUUCUUGUUACUGUUUCAGUCUCUGCAUAUUAUAUUACCGUUAUUUUUCAUUCUGAGAUCAGCUUACUUGUCACAAAUUGUAAAAGCUCUUUUUGCAACUUAAGUAUUCUUUCAAAUUAAGAAUCACUUGUGUACACGAGUGAUAACCACCAUUUUACAGAAUAUGCAAUGGGUUCGAAGGUCGAAUUAUCACAAUCAAUGGAAAUGGGGAUUACUUCAACUAGAAGCAGAAAAUGAGGUCAUAUCGGUUCAAGGAAGGAUUGCUAAAGCCUUGAAUGAUCCUAAAAUGUUUUCUACUUACUUGAAAGCUAAACCUGAUGAAAUGGCAUAUAGUUAUAC
rnacentral:lncRNA from 1 species